rnacentral:rRNA from 1 species
GAUGAACGCUGGCGGCGUGCUUAACACAUGCAAGUCGAACGGAAAGGCCCAAGCUUGCUUGGGUACUCGAGUGGCGAACGGGUGAGUAACACGUGGGUGAUCUGCCCUGCACUUCGGGAUAAGCCUGGGAAACUGGGUCUAAUACCGGAUAGGACGAUGGUUUGGAUGCCAUUGUGGAAAGUUUUUUCGGUGUGGGAUGAGCUCGCGGCCUAUCAGCUUGUUGGUGGGGUAAUGGCCUACCAAGGCGUCGACGGGUAGCCGGCCUGAGAGGGUGUACGGCCACAUUGGGACUGAGAUAAGGCCCAGACUCCUACGGGAGGCAGCAGUGGGGAAUAUUGCACAAUGGGCGCAAGCCUGAUGCAGCGACGCCGCGUGGGGGAUGACGGCCUUCGGGUUGUAAACUCCUUUCGCUAGGGACGAAGCGUUUUUGUGACGGUACCUGGAGAAGAAGCACCGGCUAACUACGUG